UNGGAAGCCACAGUCUACACUAACACAA
rnacentral:piRNA from 1 species